GAUGAACGCUGGCGGCGUGCCUAAUACAUGCAAGUCGAGCGAACAGACGAGGAGCUUGCUCCUCUGACGUUAGCGGCGGACUGGUUAGUAACACGUGGAUAACCUACCUAUAAGACUGGGAUAACUUCGGGAAACCGGAGCUAAUACCGGAUAAUAUUUUGAACCGCAUGGUUCAAUAGUGAAAGACGGUUUUGCUGUCACUUAUAGAUGGAUCCGCGCUGCAUUAGCUAGUUGGUAAGGUAACGGCUUACCAAGGCAACGAUGCGUAGCCGACCUGAGAGGGUGAUCGGCCAAACUGGAACUGAGACACGGUCCAGACUCCUAAGGGAGGCAGCAGUAGGGAAUCUUCCGCAAUGGGCGAAAGCCUGACGGAGCAACGCCGCGUGAGUGAUGAAGGUCUUCGGAUCGUAAAACUCUGUUAUUAGGGAAGAACAAAUGUGUAAGUAACUAUGCACGUCUUGACGGUACCUAAUCAGAAAGCCACGGCUAACUACGUG
rnacentral:rRNA from 1 species